rnacentral:rRNA from 1 species
UGGGGAAUUUUGGACAAUGGGCGCAAGCCUGAUCCAGCAAUGCCGCGUGAGUGAAGAAGGCCUUCGGGUUGUAAAGCUCUUUUGUCAGGGAAGAAACGGUUGGGGCUAAUAUCCUCGGCUAAUGACGGUACCUGAAGAAUAAGCACCGGCUAACUACGUGCCAGCAGCCGCGGUAAUACGUAGGGUGCAAGCGUUAAUCGGAAUUACUGGGCGUAAAGCGUGCGCAGGCGGUUUUGUAAGUCUGUCGUGAAAGCCCCGGGCUCAACCUGGGAAUUGCGAUGGAGACUGCAAGGCUUGAAUCUGGCAGAGGGGGGUAGAAUUCCACGUGUAGCAGUGAAAUGCGUAGAGAUGUGGAGGAACACCGAUGGCGAAGGCAGCCCCCUGGGUCAAGAUUGACGCUCAUGCACGAAAGCGUGGGGAGCAAACAGGAUUAGAUACCCUGGUAGUCCACGCCCUAAACGAUGUCUACUAGUUGUCGGGUUUUAAUUAACUUGGUAACGCAGCUAACGCGUGAAGUAGACCGCCUGGGGAGUACGGUCGCAAGAUUAA